GCCCGUGUAGCUCAGCGGUAGAGCAUUGUACUUAUGAGGAUAACUGGCCAGUUUGUGAUAUGCAAGGGUCUCGAGUUCGAAUCUCGGCAUGGGCA